UAAUACGUAGGGGGCAAGCGUUGUCCGGAAUCAUUGGGCGUAAAGAGCGUGUAGGCGGCUCGGUAAGUCCGCUCUGAAAGCCCGGGGCUCAACCCCGGGAGGCGGGCGGAUACUGUCGGGCUAGAGUCCGGAAGAGGCGAGUGGAAUUCCUGGUGUAGCGGUGAAAUGCGCAGAUAUCAGGAGGAACACCAAUGGCGAAGGCAGCUCGCUGGGACGGUACUGACGCUGAGACGCGAAAGCGUGGGGAGCAAACAGGAUUAGAUACCCUGGUAGUCCACGCUGUAAACGAUGGGCACUAGGUGUGGGGGGUGUCGACUCCCUCCGUGCCGACGCUAACGCAUUAAGUGCCCCGCCUGGGGAGUACGGCCGCAAGGCUA
rnacentral:rRNA from 1 species